UUCCUAUUUAUGUCAGAUAAUUUACCCCAUUCUACCUCUUCCUUUCCCUUCUCUCAGUGCACAAUGCCUGGCAGAGAGCAGACACUAUAAAUGUAACUGUUAUUAUUAGUUUGUUAAUUAGAUGUGACCAGUAUACAGUGCCAAUGGUGAUGAGAUGCCUGAUUUUCUGUAUAAGGUAUGUCAAGCAACUUUUCAUAAUUUGGAUGUUAUGAAAGCAACAACUGAAAAUUUUAGCAGGAACAUCUAAGGAAUCUGUACAAGUCACUUGGAACCAGCAAAACAAUUCCACUGAAGAGCUGCCCCUGAGGACAAGAUAUUUUCCAGAUUGCCCCAAGAAAAGAUGUUCCAGAGACCAUACAACUACAUGGGACAUCUGAAUACCAAGAUGAAAUUUGUUAAUUAAAUGGACAUUGGGGGUGGAUUGGUGAUCAUCACCGUACAUGCCUCCCCUAGAGAAAAAAGGGGAAACUGAGAAAAUCAAGCUGUUAUGAUCCCAUUAUGCAAUUGAUUCAGUUCUCUGUCACUCCCAAUAUGUUGUAAAACUGCCCAAGCCAGGUUUAUUUGUCUCUGAACCUAAUUCAGAAACUCAGAUCUCCCAUUAAUCCCCAAAUGCCAUUGGUUCUUCCUUCACCUCCCCAGGGGUGGGAUGGAAUAAAAUUAUAACAAUUGUGGUAAUUUUCUCUUUGGUCAUGUUGUUUUCCUGUCUGUGCUUAUAUUACUUGUAUGGUUUAUGCUUACAAAUGGGACCAUCCCAACUGUACCCAAAAAGACCCUAAACACCCCAGUAUAGAGCCACCCCAGGGACCUUGUGGAAUAUAUUCAGAAAGAGUGUAGGGGAGGCUUUUCAGGGGUGGAUGUGGGGUCCCAAUUGGGGAAAAGCCUUAAAAAGAACUCUGUGAAAGGUGAGAGGCCAAACAUGGUGACCUGUUAAAAAAUCAUAACUUAGAGUCAUAGCUUAAAAUACUAUGACCGAUGAAAGCCAUAAUAAGAAUAUCAUGACCUAUGUGUAACUGGUAUAUGAUCAGUACAGAAUCUUAUAUUUGGGCAUAACAUUGGCUUAGCACCCAAGCCCAUUACUAAGCAGAAAACCAAAAAUAUGCACCAAUCAGAAGUGAUGCUCUCUCUAGCUCAUCCUUCCUUUGUUUUCUAUUAUUACCAUGGGGAUUUGGGGGGUCUUUUGUGCUGAACUGUCUGGCUGCCAUCCCAAACUGAAGAUUGGCCCUGUUUUGUUAGUACUGCUAA